UUUCCAAAGAACGCACACCAUUUAUCUCAAUCAGUGCUGAAGUGACCGGAGCUAAAAAUACACAGAACCACGCAUCGGGGUGGGGCCGGCGCUUUAUCCGGACCUGCAGUCCGCAUGCCCCGCUGCUUAUUAUAACCGCCGCUAUCGUGUUCCAGCUGUCAUCUAAUAUCGUUAGCCCCUUAAUGGGCUUUCGUUGGGAACAGUGGAACCGGUGCCAGCCGAGCUGGGAGGAGUGACCGCGUACAGGAUAGGUUUUCUCAUUCUUUGUGUUUGGCAGCGCGGUCGGUACAUUCCAGCUGAUGCCCCGUGUCGAAUUUCCCCCUCUCUGCCUGCGUCUUAUCAGCGGGACAGAGCUGUGGGUCAGGUAAAGGAUACGAGCAGCCUUGGCGCUCAGCCCGGGUGCGACGGCGGCACUACCUAAUGCAGUGCUGUCGCGCGAACCACUCGCCGUAUGUUUCUCCGCUCCUUGUUGUCGUGCCUGGCGGCGGAGCGUGUGGCAGGGCCAUUGUUAGCGUGUGACUGGCCCGGGAAAGGGAAACGCAAUCGCGUGUCUGUGCUCUUUUGUAUCCCUUUUUAGCAGCUGAGGCUCUUUAUGAUAACUGAGAAUGUAUUUGCGUAUGUAGUGUUUUUUUCUUUUUUUUCUUUUUCUAAGCGAAGAAUUCAUUAGCCCUUGGGAUUGUAAUUAUACACAUUGUUUAACACCUCUUGUGUUGAUUGAGAGCUGUCCCCAGGAUGUGCUAUGGCUAGCCAGUCUGAAAGCUUGUUGUUAGAUGGUAGUAGGGGAGAAUAGAGGGUGCUCGUCACUUCCUGAGUAUAGAGAAUUUGUAGUGACAGACCAGGGCAGUUCAACUGCAGUACUGCUUGCAGCCUACAGUGGACCUUACUGACCACUCCAGCAGCUCUUUCCCCAUGUUUUAAGGGUUUUACCUUGAUCCAGCUCCCCUGCACGAGGGAUAUAAUCUAUUAACCUGGUCCCAUCUCUACAGUCUGAAAGGGGUAUAGAUAAACAUCAGACUGUCUCACACAACGGAAAUUCAUGUUAAAAUCCAGACUAAAUAUCAGUGACCCUUGCUAUGCUCCAGGGGUGUUUUUUACAAUGAUAAAACCGCGAAAGGGAGAAUGUUCCCGACCUGCAAUAUCCCAGUAUUUUUUACUACCCAAUAAACCUUCUCUCCUUGUACUUGGUUGAUUCUUUAAAGGCUUACAAAAGCCUGGAAGGCUACAAGUGAACAAUGGCUGGAUUGGUCUUGAAUGUUUAGCUGUGGAGUAUUCCUUAUAAAAACUGCAUUGUCGUUACUGGAAGAGUAGCCUAGAGUAGUGUCACUUGACAUUAGCAAUGGAAAGUGUCACAAUAAGGGCUGUAGCGCUAGCUUGAUUUCAAUGUUGGUGCUAUCACAAGCUCUGUAUUCAGUCAAACAUGGGUUGUUGGUGUGAAAGUGUUUUCACACAUUAAAAAGUAGCAUUUGCCUGUUCCGAAUAAGCUUUAUCAGACUACUCUAUCCAUGUAAAGCUAACAUUGUGAUGAACUGUCUUCUUAAUAUGGAUGGUUUAGCUGAAGCUUGCCUACAAGGUGCCAUUACCAGGUACCGGAAAUCCAUUUAUUUCACCUUACAGGAUCUUUUGGCAUAUGCUAAAAAGAUCUCCCUUUUCCAUGUCCCCUCUUGGGCAUAACCAUUUUAAAAUGUAAAAAUUAAACUGAAAUGAAUGACACUGAAUUAGUGCCGCUCCCAGAUUUGGCAUAGUUUUGAUCAAGGCAGAUGCAUGCUGGGAUUGUGUGAUGUCAACUACAGGAGCUCUAUGGUUAGUUAAGUCGCCCCAGUCAUUCCAGAACUUUUAGCCUACCCAUGUUUCCACUCUAUAGGCUUUGUCCCAUGUUAUCACCAUAGUAACAGGCGCUGAGAGUUAUGGUUUAGUGCUGUAUUUGCAAUACCAAACUAACAAAGAACAUGAUUUCUUCUAAAGAAAAUUGAAACAUUCAUAAGGGCCAUAACAUCAAUUGAAGAAUCUGCACGGAAAAACUUCCCGAUAUUGUGUUUAUUUUGCUGUUUUGGGCAGUGUGCAUCAUUUUCAAGAACUUCAUUUGUAGUCAAAAAACUCAUCAGCAGAAAAUGCCUUUCCACCCCAAAGCUGUUUUUCUCAGCAGUGGCUGUGGGUGUAAAUCUUAUUUCUGGAUUGAAAUGGCAUCUGAAGCUUGGAUGUAAAUUCCCAUCUGUCUCUGAUAUUUGUCAGUCCUGCAUUUUUUAACGCCCUGAGGGAUAACGGCUCUCAGGUGAUAUUUCAUUUAAAUUUUAUGCAGCAGCUCUGAACAAAACAAGAACCCAUCUCUACAAAAUGCCACUUUGGCUUUGUGAUGGUGGAUUAUUUAUUUUCUUUUUUCCUUUAGCACAAAUAAAAGGAGAAUUUGUUUUAGAAGACUAUUUUGUAACUUUGCCUAUGUUUACAUGCCCUGUGUCCAUCCAUCCAUUCUCUAUACCCGCUUUUCCUGAGCAGGGUUGCGGAGGGUGCUGGAGCCUAUCCCAGCGUGCAUUGGGUGAGAGGCAGGAAUACACCCUGGAGAGGCCGCCAAUCUAUUGCAGGGCACACUCACACACUCAUACCUAUGGGCAAUUUAGAGUCUCCAAUUAGCCUACCUGCAUGUCUUUGGACUGUGGGAGGAAACCGGAGUACCCGGAGGAAACCCAUGUGGACACAGGGAGAACAUGCAAACUCCAAACAGAAAGUGUCGUUUUUCAAUUAAGCGAUAGAGUAUCUAGCAAUUUCCCAGCCACAGCCAAUUAUUAGCAAUGGGGAUGUUCCUCCUGGUGUGAAUGAGGAGUUUAUGAUUGUGAGGUUUGUGAAUGAGGGGGAAAAGAGUGAUGUCACUUCAGUCUCUUUUCGUUUAUGCUGUAGAAUGAUACCAUCAAAGACAGAACCAAUGGUAGAGAGGCUAUUCACACCAGUAAGUCCCAUCUCAGGGUCCUUCUGGAUUAAUACUGUCCCCACACAAUGGACCCUUAGCCGAUUACACAUCUCCCUACAGGACUCUAAGCCAGAGCUUGCACAGUUGGGGUUCGAUUCAGGCUGUAGGGAACAGCACUGCAUUUAGCGCAAGGCUUGUGGACUCGCCUCUCAGGAGCCCUUUGUGCACCCUGUCCACCUUUGUGUGCAUGCGUCCCUGUCUGUAUUAGGUUCAGGGUUGAUGUAGCCAUUCCCAGCCUGGUGACCCACAUUUUAUGUCUCUUAGCCCCAGUAAAUUAUCUUGCGGAAGACAACAGUUAUCUUGGCUGGUGGUGGGUUGUUUGUGCAUUAAUUAUUUGCAUCUUCACUGCAAUCAUGGCCUAAUGAAGGAGGACAGGAAGACUCUGUGUGAUAGGAGCCUCUGUGCUACAGCCUUUUCUGUCAGCAUUCUGUUCAGUCUAUUUUCAGAUCUGUCAAACCACAAACCACUGUUUCCUGUUUAGUAAAUGUUCUUAGUCUUCUUAGAAACUAGUUUUUUGUGUCGGCUUGUUGAAAGUCAUUUUUAGUCAAAUUCAAGUUCUUAAUAUUUGUUCUGUUUUAUUUGAAAAACAGUCUGUAAUAUUUUCAUCCUCUCCCUAAAGUCUGAGUUAAACUUCAAUAAAGAUUUCAAACAUUUGGAGGCUCUUUUGAAAAGAAUCUUCUUUUAUGUGCCAGCUCCAGAUUAUAUGUGGUGCUUUCGGUUAAACUAUGAAGGUGUCCAGUGUAACAUUAGUCACGUUGCUCAAAAAGCUAUUUUCCAGCUCUCAGACUAAUUCAUACGUAGAAAGUACUAGACAGGGGGAACCACGAGUUUGUCGGAGCUGACACCUCCCCAUUAGUUAAACUCCGCCCAUCAGUCACUCUAGUCUUUGUCAAGGGCCAAGUGAUUUACUAUGCUACUUCAGUAGUACCGUGACUGCACUACAAAAUUGGUUUACCUGACAUUGUGGUUGUUUGUACAACCUUGGUGUACUCCUGUGCAUUGGACUAUUCAUGAACAUGAGGAUACCUGUGCACAUUCAAGUACUCUCAUGCCUUGGAGUACUCCAGCAAUGUAUUUAUUCCAGUCCUAUAGAUGCAUUAUACAUUACUAGACACCUUUACAUGUAAAGAGGAGUGAAAAACAAAUGUUAUAUAAUUUGCUGUGGUCAAGUAUUAGUUUUGAAAGCUCACAUUCAAUAUCACUUGCUAAAACAGUCCCUGAUUAUAAUUUUUGGCUGGACCGCAACAGCGGGGCCAGCCCUACAAACGCGAAUGUCUGUGACUGAGUGGCUGAGUGAUGAAGUUACACCAUUGGUCGGCCGGAUCACGUGUGUCAUGACAACCAUAUAAACAACAGCGCGAGUACAUCAUUUUCUCCUCAGGCAGCAUGACAAACAGGGCAGAGGAUAGGAUUACGUUACCGGAGAACAAGAAAAAAGGUAGAUUCAACUAGCUAACAUUAAGUUAGAUAGAUUUUACAGUUUAAAUGAACAUUCGCAAUGUAUAAUCUAUUGAUGUUCAUAGCCAACUAAUUCUUACUAAGAUUAAUAAUAUAUUGUGAAAUAAUGUUCCAGCUAACGUUAGCUAGGUAACAUAAAGAGAUUUGCAACUAUAUAUGAAAUAGGUGAAAUAUCGGUAACAACCUGUACCUAUUUAUGUAGGAAAAAAUGUCCUUGUUAUCCUCCAGUGGUUAUUUUUUCAGUACUUUCGCGAUUUUUUUCAGUGCCGGCAAAUAAGUCAGAGGUGGCCCAGCGCUAGCUUUUGGUUGCAAAGGGGACCUGUAUCAACCACCCCAUAUAAAUGAAUGUAACUUGACAUAAAUUUGCUAGCAUACUGUAUACGUGUCCUGUCUUGCGUAUUUGAGGUUAAUAUGAGAGAGGGUGGUCGCUAUCGGCACGUCCAGGAAUCCACAUGCACAGUAAGACUGUAUUAAUAUAACUAAAUGUAUAUGUACGAAGUUGGUUUUUCACAUUUAGACAGUUUAUUAUGUAUAUUUCUACAGGACUUACAUUCUAAUAGUACAUUCUUUUUAUAUUAACUUAAGCAGUGUGUAGGUAACGUUAAACUAGUAGCAUGAAUGUAACGUUCGAUAUAUAUUGUAACAUUACAUGACUUAUUAAUCGCCUACAAAAUAAUGACUUAACUUGUUUAUUAAUAAUGUUAGCAUGAUGGCAUUGAUGUGCACGACAACGUUGUCAUAAAAAUUUUCCCGACCGUGAACACCAGAGACUGUAAAAAAAAAAGACUGAAAACUGCCUGACUUGUUUACAUUUUGGACAGAUGUGGCUACAGAGUAAAUCCAUCGUUGUUUCCGUCCCAGCGCUUUCGAUACAAGUAAUAUCGGAAAAAUCCUAGAAUUUCUUUUUACGGUGAAGAGUGCCUGACUGGCAAAGAAAUGUGUUAACACAGCGGCAAAAUUUGGCUAUAUCUAGAAAUACCACCUUUGGGGGAAAACACUACGGUUGAGGGUCAGGCACUCUUCACGGUAAGAAGAAAUUUCAGGAUUUGUUCAUAUUGCUUGUGUCUAAAAUGCUGCAACGGAAACAACGAUAGAUUUACUCAGGAGGCACAUCUGUCCAAAAUGUAAACAAGUCAGGCAGUUUUCACGGUCGGGAAAAAAAUUAUGACAACGUGGUCAUGUAGCUAACUUAGCUAGCUAGCCAAACAGUCAGUAACACAGACUUCCUUGGUGCCAUUUAGGGAUAAUGUCAAGGAGGAAAGGUAGCCUACUGUAAAAGCCAAAAAAACUUAGACUGUUUUUUUAAAUGUUUAAAUGUGCCCAGCAUUCCAAGGCUUGUUGUAAGAUUCAGUAGCCAAUCAGGACUUGAAUACAAGUUUUUUGUAGAGUGCAAAAACCUUGAUAUUAUUUAUUUUAAUUUAAUUUCUUUUGUUGUUGUUGAAAUGUGCCCAGCAUUUCAAGGCUGUAAGAAUCAGUAGCCAAUCAGGACUUUUUUCAAGUUUUUUGUAGAGUGCAAAAACUUUGAUAUUAUUUAUUUUAAUUUAAUUUAAUUUAUUUUGAUGCUGUUGAAAUCACAGCAUUCCAAUCACAGACUGUACAUUGUUGUCAGAUUCUUUGUAAGACUCUGCUAUGCUGUAAAUAGUUGUUGAUUUUUAAAAUGUGUGUUGAAUAAAUGACUUAUUUAUAACAACAUUCACAUUACAUAGUCAUAUUUUCAAAUCUCCAGUCAGCUUUUAGCACUGACUUAAUUUAGGGCCCUAUGGAAUCUGUGUUAUAGCUUUUUUCAAUUCUCAAUUCCGUGAUUCCGUCCGUGAUUCUGUUAUCACAGAAACUAUAGGGCCCUACCUUAAUGCUGCCAUCAGUCUGUCGCUGGCCCGCGCCGGGCUCCCGUCAAAAAAGACACUUAGCCGGCGGCCCGCGCUGGGCCCUGUCAAAAGAUACUUGCCACCGGGCCUAACAACUUUUCUGGGGGAAACCCUGCAGUAUUUAAUAAAUGGUCUGAUGCCAUGUAUCAUAAAUUAAUUGUAGAUUAAUUAUAGAAAUUUGGUGAAAACUAUGGUGAUUGGUCAUUUUUAUCAUUCAGAGUGUGUGCUUUUUUA